CACCUACGGGUGGCAGCAGUGGGGAAUAUUGGACAAUGGGCGCAAGCCUGAUCCAGCCAUACCGCGUGGGUGAAGAAGGCCUUCGGGUUGUAAAGCCCUUUUGUUGGGAAAGAAAUCCUAUCGGUUAAUAACCGGUGGGGAUGACGGUACCCAAAGAAUAAGCACCGGCUAACUUCGUGCCAGCAGCCGCGGUAAUACGAAGGGUGCAAGCGUUACUCGGAAUUACUGGGCGUAAAGCGUGCGUAGGUGGUGGGUUAAGUCUGCUGUGAAAGCCCUGGGCUCAACCUGGGAAUUGCAGUGGAUACUGGAUCACUGGAGUGUGGUAGAGGGAUGCGGAAUUUCUGGUGUAGCAGUGAAAUGCGUAGAGAUCAGAAGGAACAUCCGUGGCGAAGGCGGCAUCCUGGGCCAACACUGACACUGAGGCACGAAAGCGUGGGGAGCAAACAGGAUUAGAUACCCUGGUAGUCCACGCCCUAAACGAUGCGAACUGGAUGUUGGGUGCAACUUGGCACCCAGUAUCGAAGCUAACGCGUU
rnacentral:rRNA from 1 species